AAAAAAAAGAAUUGGUGGGGUAACCCCAGCCAAGAUGGCUAAGGAUAUAAACUUGUAACCACAAGGUCACGAGUUAGAAUCCCAACCCUCUUGGUUUAAGUCGGUCAAUUAUGAGCAACCUAGGCUAGUUUACCUCCUUGUGGUCCUUAGUCAGUUAAAAUCACAAGACAGAGUUUACCCCGUGCACACCUCAGGUAGUGGUUGCGGGUUUCCAUCGUCACC